UACGAAGGGGGCUAGCGUUGUUCGGAAUUAUUGGGCGUAAAGGGCGCGUAGGCGGCCCGGUAAGUCAAAGGUGAAAUCCCUCGGCUCAACUGAGGAACUGCCUUUGAAACUGUCGGGCUUGAGGCCGGGAGGGGGUAGCGGAAUUCCCAGUGUAGCGGUGAAAUGCGUAGAUAUUGGGAGGAACAUCGGUGGCGAAGGCGGCAUCCUGGACCGGUAUUGACGCUGAGGCGCGAAAGCCAGGGGAGCAAAGCGGGG
rnacentral:rRNA from 1 species